UUGGGAGGAGGCUGUCUUGGAGCUGGACGAUAUGUGCAGGAAUUGCCCAAGCAGACGUGACAGCAACACUUCCGAAAUUAGCCUUUCAGUUGAAUCUGCGUUAGAAUGCUUCGACUUCCUUAAUGCUGAUGGAUGAUGAUUUUGAAGAUGAUAAUCCAGAUGCAUGUGAGGAAAAGAAGAAAAAAGAAGCAGCAGCUGUGUUUGCAGGUCCAUCAUUACCAGACACAAGUCAGCCUCUGGUCACUGGUACACCUCAGUUGGAUUCUUUCCUCUACACUCAUCUGAAACAUGCUCUUCAGUUUGUUGCAA